AGAACGAACGCUGGCGGCAUGCCUAAUACAUGCAAGUCGAACGAACACUUCGGUGUUAGUGGCGCACGGGUGCGUAACGCGUGGGAAUCUGCCCUUGGGUUCGGAAUACCAGUUGGAAACGACUGCUAAUACCGGAUGAUGACGAAAGUCCAAAGAUUUAUCGCCCAGGGAUGAGCCCGCGUAGGAUUAGCUAGUUGGUGAGGUAAAGGCUCACCAAGGCGACGAUCCUUAGCUGGUCUGAGAGGAUGAUCAGCCACACUGGGACUGAGACACGGCCCAGACUCCGUACGGGAGGCAGCAGGUAGGGAAUAUUGGACAAGUGGGCGCAAGCCUGACUCCAGCAAUCGCCGCGUGAGUGAGUGAAGGCCGUUUAGGGUACGUAAAGUCCUUUACGUUUAACCCGAGUA
rnacentral:rRNA from 1 species